GGGGAAUAUUGGACAAUGGGCGAAAGCCUGAUCCAGCCAUGCCGCGUGUGUGAAGAAGGUCUUCGGAUUGUAAAGCACUUUAAGUUGGGAGGAAGGGCAGUUACCUAAUACGUGAUUGUUUUGACGUUACCGACAGAAUAAGCACCGGCUAACUCUGUGCCAGCAGCCGCGGUAAUACAGAGGGUGCAAGCGUUAAUCGGAAUUACUGGGCGUAAAGCGCGCGUAGGUGGUUAGUUAAGUUGGAUGUGAAAUCCCCGGGCUCAACCUGGGAACUGCAAUUAAAACCUACUGACGUGGAGAUUGUUAGAGGUUGUGGGAAUUUCCUGUGUGCCGUGGAAUUCGGUGGUAAUAGGAGGGAAACCAAUUGCGAAGGCCACCACCCGGGCCUAUUCUUGCACCUGAGGUCCGAAGCCGUGGGAGCAAACA
rnacentral:rRNA from 1 species